rnacentral:sRNA from 1 species
UCGAUCGGUUGUGUAAUCUGAAAAUGUGUUGUUUCGUUUAAUAUAUAUGUAUGUACAUAUUAAAUAUCGGUGCUUCGCGCGUUCUUUCAACUUAACAAUUGUUGGUGCAGCAACAAAUUGGCGCUCAAUUGAAAAUAACACGCAUGCAGUGAGAGAGAGAAACUAUGAAAGAGAACAAGAAAGAAGGAGAGUGAAAAAAAGUAUUACUUGAACAGAAUAAUAAGGAGAGUUCUUUAACAAGAAGCUUCCCGUAAAAAGUAGAACUCGAUGCACAAAUCUUACUUUAAGAGAGAGACAAAACAAACUAAGUAUCCAGCUUAUUUAUACGCCUCCUAUCAAAGCCGCAAGGUAAGGCCAUUAAAAAUUGCAAUGGAAAAACAGAUGCGUUUCAGUGUAAACAAUAACAAAAUUUUGGCAUUGGAAAUGGCUGGAAACGUGCUUUGGCAUUUGUUUGUUAUUGUUGUUGUUGUUGCUGCUGAACAGCCUUCACUAAUAAACCGUUAUGCAAUGUGCCAAAGCAGAUAACAAAGCAGAAAGAGCAAUACAACAGCAACAACAACAACAACAACAGCUGCAAACUGUAAUUGAAGCUUUGGCUGGAAAUUAAUGGAAGCCGAGUCGCAUUUGGACUUUGGAGCCGACUCGAAGUGAGAGUGGGAAAUCUGAAGUGAAUUAACGGUUAACGAAUUAACUCUUAAAUAGAUGAUUUACAAAAGUAACAGUAAAUUGCUCAUCAAGAUCAGUUCGAAACGCCUCGCGAUCAGUUCAAUUAGCUAGGGUACUCUCCGCAGCCGGGACUCGGACAAUCCAUACACUCGACGAUCUUAUGAGAGUGAACCGAGUGUUGUUGUUGUUGUUGGAACUGACAUUGACAUGAUCCACAACGGCUGUCAUAAAUCUCACCUACCUUGGCUGGCACUUGAUGGGAUUGUUCCCGGAAUCGUUCGGUGGCUUACGUUUGGCGUUCGGUUCUUGCUGUUGGUGGUCAAAAGGAUCUCGAGAUGAAGGAAAAAAAGUGCAAAUCACUUCAUUAAAGCAUUGCAUACGCGACGACCCCCGCAGCUGCCCCCACGUUGCGUAGUUGCGCCGACGUCGCGACGUCUCCGAUUUGCAACUUUGUUGCGCAAGGCUCCAUACGGGAGGCUGCACAUCAUUUGGCUUAAUGGAUCCGCGGCAACAACAAUGACAACAACAAACGGCAAACAGCUUUGCCUGUUUGCUCUGACCCGCAAAAAGUUCGGUAUUGGUGGAUCGCGGCAUCGCCAAUCGUUGACUGUGCGCGGUUCGAACCAUCAAAACGAACGAGCAACAACAACAAGAAAAAACAACGAAAGAGUUAUAGUCGAAAGUGCUGGACUUGAAACUACCCUGUGCCCAAGUCAUUCGAAUAGAAAGGCGAUAUUUAAAAGCUAAAGAGAAACAAUGAGGGAGGCUCGGAAAGAGUGAUAAAUUAAUCCUCAUUCGAAUAAUAAAAAAUAUAUUGCCAAUGGAAAAUCAAGAACAUAUCAACUCGUGAACUCAUGCUAAUCGGAAAAAGACUGCCAAAUUAAGGACUACAAGGACCUCUAAGGACCUCUACGAGGGACACAGCAGAUUUUUUCAGGAUCGGACUUAAAUUAAGCCAUAUGUAGUUAU